AUGUACCCACGUACACUCCGGUUCCUCCGCGCCGUCCGCACCCACCUGACGGCUGCUCGCUAC
rnacentral:sRNA from 1 species